GAUGAACGCUAGCUACAGGCUUAACACAUGCAAGUCGAGGGACUGGCGUACGGGUGAUUAACGCGUACCCACCCUUCCCAUUACUGUGGGAUAACCUGCCGAAAGGCAGACUAAUACCGCAUAGGAAUGGCUGGGGUUGCGUCUGAUUAGCUUGUUGGCGGGGUAACGGCACACCAAGGCGACGCUCAGUAGGGGUUCUGAGAGGAAGGUCCCCCACAUGGGAACUGAGGCACGUGCCAAACUCGUACGGAAGGCAGCAGUAAGGAAUAUUGGGCAAUGGACGGAAGUCUGAACCGGCCAAGUAGCGUGCAGGAUGACGGCCUAUUGGUUGUAAACUGCUUUUGUAUGGGGAGAGGUACCAUAUGAAUAAGGACCGGCUAAUUCCGUGCCAGCAGCCGCGGUAAUUC
rnacentral:rRNA from 1 species